rnacentral:rRNA from 1 species
GACAGAGGCCCCCGAGCGUUAGUCGGAAUCACUGGGCUUAAAGGGUGCGUAGGCGGGCGUGUAAGUGUCUCGUGAAAGCCCCGGGCUCAACCCGGGAACCGCGGGGCAUACUGCACGUCUCGAGGAAACUAGAGGCCGGUAGAACGAUCGGUGGAGCGGUGGAAUGCGUAGAGAUCGAUCGGAACGCCAAGGGUGAAGACAGCCGGCUGGGGUUUUCCUGACGCUGAGGCACGAAAGCGUGGGGAUC